rnacentral:rRNA from 1 species
AUUGAACGCUGGCGGCAUGCUUUACACAUGCAAGUCGAACGGCAGCACGGGCUUCGGCCUGGUGGCGAGUGGCGAACGGGUGAGUAAUGCAUCGGAACGUGCCCAUUUGUGGGGGAUAACUACGCGAAAGCGUGGCUAAUACCGCAUACGCCCUGAGGGGGAAAGCGGGGGAUUCUUCGGAACCUCGCGCAAUUGGAGCGGCCGAUGUCAGAUUAGCUUGUUGGUGAGGUAAAGGUUCACCAAGGCGACGAUCUGUAGCGGGUCUGAGAGGAUGAUCCGCCACACUGGGACUGAGACACGGCCCAGACUCCUACGGGAGGCAGCAGUGGGGAAUUUUGGACAAUGGGGGCAACCCUGAUCCAGCCAUGCCGCGUGAGUGAAGAAGGCCUUCGGGUUGUAAACGUACUUUCGUCGCACGACGAUAAUGACGGUAGUGCGAGAAGAAGACUCCGGCUAACUUCGUGUCCAGCAGCCGCGGUAACUAGUCUACG